rnacentral:lncRNA from 1 species
AUCUAAUACAGAACUAACACCAAUUCUACACAAUCUCUUCCAAAAAGCAGAACAGGAGAAAACACCCUCCAAUACUUUUUAUGAAGCUAAUAUUACCAUGAUAUCAAAACCAAACAAACAUAUUGACAGAAAAAAACUGCAAAUCAAUAUCCCUCAGUAACCAUUAUAAGUAUGACGCGAAGGUCGUACAUCAGGCUAUUACACCUUUUCAUUAUACGCUAACCCCUCACGGCAGGGAAGCCACGCUUAUGACUGCAUUAGACAGACAAAGCCUUCAGCUCUUUAAAAAAAGAAAAAGCAAAAAAAAAAAAAAAAAAAAAAAGAUGAAAAAAAUCACUGAACAAGUUUCCUGGAGAUAUAUUUUAAAGAACUUCUUGGAAUUGGCAUAUUGUCAUAUGCUAUUUAAAUUUUCAUGCUCAGAGAAAAUAUCGAGGUGGGAAACGCUAAUUCAUUUUUUAAAAGCUGUAUCAAAUCAAUACAUCUUAGUCUUUCCAGUUAUAACUGAUAAUUAAAUAUCAUUUUCAAACUUCUUGCAUAUAUUAAAAUUAUUACUUUUUGAUAAAUGUAUUCCUCAUUAUGAGUCAACUGUCUUCAGUGUAAUUUUACUGUUUUGUCUUUUGGGCAGUAUCAUACUGUCUAAUAAAUCAUAUGUUGUGGCUGUGAUAUCUUAUUGACUACAAUAACUCAUGUAUAGUUUUCCAUUUUAAAAGAAUUUGAAAAAAUUGUUUGCUUAUGUUGUACUGCUUAGCUAUCAUAAUUAAUUAACCCCUUUAUAUCUGAGUAUUCAGAAAGUAUUUUCUCAGUGCUGCCAUAAAAAUGGUCUUCUACUCAUGUUUGGAACCACGUCCUCAUCAUUGAAUCAAUUGAAGUUUAUGAAAAGUCUAAUUUGAUUUUUAAAACAUACACAGACACAGAAUUCUUGAUUUUAAGGAGAUGUUCACAAUAAUUUCUUUGUGACCACGUAGGUAAAGAAUUGUGGGUGAUAUUAUCUGGGUAUUUAGAUCGCAAAGAGAUCAAAACAGACCCUGAUAUUUGGCCUAAGACAGAAGAAAGACCAUGAGGAGGCCUUAGACCUCAGCAGGCCAUUUCCAUCUUACUGUCGUAUUCUUACACAGACAGGAAAACGCACCGCAGAUGAACUAUGUUUUUCAACUGAACUCCCCAGCACUUUGGGAGGUCAAGGCAGGUGUAUCACAAAGUCAGGAGAUCGACACCAUCCUUGCCAACAUGGUGAAACCCCGUCUCUAUUAAAA